rnacentral:rRNA from 1 species
CCCUUAGAUGUUCUGGGCCGCACGCGUGCUACACUGAGUGGAUCAGCGGGUCAGGUUGCGCGAAAGUGUUUCCUAAUCUUGAAAUCCGCUCGUGAUGGGGAUUGACGGUUGCAAUUUUCCGUCAUGAACGAGGAAUACCUUGUAAGCGCGGGUCAUCAUCCCGCGCUGAAUACGUCCCUGCCCUUUGUACACACCGCCCGUCGCUCCUACCGAUUGAGCAAUCCGGUGAAUACUUCGGACCGGUUACUUGGUUGGUUCGCUAACCUUGUGACUGGAAAGUCGAGUGAACCUUAUUGCUUAGAGGAAGGAGAAGUCGUAACA